UGUAGCCGUGGCCUCAAGGAGGAGUAUCAUUAUUUACUGAUUUCUUUAAUUUAUCCUAUUCCCAUUCCACUAACUACUCUUACCCUUCGUUUGCCUUCCAUCAUCAAAUAAUUUGUGUGUGUGAAAGUUUUGCUGCCUUUACUCCAUAACAGCUAAUAAAUGCAAGAAAUCAUAUGUGUCCUUCUUGAAUCGUCUUCAUGGCUUGAUAGUUAUGAAGUUAGGGUGUAACAUAGUUGCGUGGUAUUUUCACUAUAUAAUGUAGAUUGCAACUGAGUUUGGAUUGUUAUGCUAAUAAAGCUCAGGUACGGCACAUAGGGAGUAUUUCUAGUGGUUGAUGGUUUAAGUUUCGUGUCCAUUGAUUGAAGAAAUAAUUACUUGUUGACCUGGUUAGCAUCUAGAUUGCUUAGUCUACUUCUUAUUAAGGUUUAAUAUUCUGCAUCGUAGUCAGAUACUUGUAUUGAUAUUGUAAAAGUUCCUUUCGAUAUAUCUUUACAGUGUAUAUUACUUGAGAACAUAAAAUAUGGUUCAUCUAUUGAUAUGUUUUCUAAAUUUUCCAUGAUUCAGUAACAUGCAUCCAGUUUAAUCCAGUUGAUGAUAGAUACUUCAUCAGUGGAUCCUUAGGUGCGUAUCUGGAGCAUUCCAGAUCGCCAAGUCGUUGACUGGAAUGAUUUGCAUAAAAUGGUCACUGCAGCUUGUUACACACCUGAUGGACUGGUGAGACACAAAUUGCAUGUUGACAAGACAGGCUUAAUUUUUUCAAUUUAUAUUGAACCAGUAGAAUGUUCUCAACGAUAUAUUUGUGAAACUUUGUUGGUUCAUACAAGGGUAGCUGUCGCUUAUACAACACAUCAGAAAAUAAGUUGCUGGAGAAAAGCCAGAUCAGUCUUCAGAAUAAGAAGAAGAAGUCUCAUCCUAAGAAAAUAACUGGGUGCCAGGUAAAAACCACUUCAUAUCACACCCAUACAACCAAUUACCUAGUUACUGCUACCUACACCUAGUUACUGCUACCUACAUAUUCUUAUGUACGCUGGUUGUUGAGGGACAAAUUCCACGAAUGUACCUAUUGGGAGUUAGUAUCCGUCGUUUAUACCCGAAAAAAAAAAAUUCUAGAGAGGGGAAAGACGCGAGAAGCUCACGCGUGUAUCAAUAUUAAACACGCGUUUCGUUCAUGCGUGUUUCAAUUAAACACGCGAUUUGCUCAUGCGUGUCUUAAUUUAUACACGCGAAUUGCUCAUGCGUGUUUCACUUGGUACACGCGAAUUGCUCACGCGUGUUUCACUUGAAUAUUCGGCGUGUCUCCCUUGGAUACAAAAUCAGUCUAGAACGCGAAAACCAUUGGAGGCUGCUUCUGCCUUCGUCGCCCCCAUUCUUCCGACCCAGCAAAAAUCGAACCCUAAUCCGACAUUUAGCUGCUCUCAUUCCAAUUUGAAGUGUUGUUAGGUUUGAUGGUGUUUGUGAGUUUAUAUUGGGAUGG